AUUGAACGCUGGCGACAGGCCUAACACAUGCAAGUCGAACGAGUGGCGGACGGGUGAGUAAUGUCUGGGAAACUGCCUGAUGGAGGGGGAUAACUACUGGAAACGGUAGCUAAUACCGCAUACCAUCGGAUGUGCCCAGAUGGGAUUAGCUUGUUGGUGGGGUAACGGCUCACCAAGGCGACGAUCCCUAGCUGGUCUGAGAGGAUGGCCAGCCACACUGGAACGGAGACACGGUCCAGACUCCUACGAGAGGCAGCAGUGGGGAAUAUUGCACAAUGGGCGGAAGCCUGAUGCAGCCAUGCCGCGUGUAUUAAGAAGGCCUUCGGGUUGUAAAGUACUUUCAGCGAGGAGGCGUUACCCGCAGAAGGAGCACCGGCUAACUCCGUGCCAGCAGCCGCGAUAAAAC
rnacentral:rRNA from 1 species